CACUUUCAGGGUUCUCAGUAAAAAUGCACCCCGGCGUGCAUUAUCUCAUCGAACAGCACAGUCUGUCAGGAGUUUUUCCUUACUGUACGCUACAGGAUUCAGAACUGAUCGAGUUGUACGUUCAUUUCUUGCUGAACAGGCGUGGACCAGGUCCGAUGAGUCUUGCGAGCGCUUCCCGAGUGUGAUCUGGGACAGGUUUCCACAAAAGACGUCACAAGGGUUGCCAGGUUACUGAUGUUCUCUGGUGAACGGCACCCGGAUGGGAACUGCAACGAGGAGUGGGGAAGCACGUCAUGUUUUCCACUGAGCUGUACACACACAGAGAGAGAGAGAGAGAGAGAGAGAGAGAGAGAGAGAGAGAGAGAGAGAGAGAGAGAGAGAGAGAGAGAGAGAGAGAGAGAGAGAGAGAGAGAGAGAGAGAGAGAGAGAGAGAGAGAGAGAGAGAGAGAGAGAGAGAGAGAGAGAGAGAGAGAGAGAGAGAGAGAGAGAGAGAGAGAGAGAGAGAGAGAGAGACACUAACAAGGAAGGAAUCUCUGCACUGAGUGGCUGGAAAUUGAACGGAAGAGUGCAUCCAGUGAGUUUUCGCUUGCCGCAAAGAAGCUGACCAUAUUAAGACCGUUUCUCAUCUGUUAUGUAAUUUGCUGAGGCUUUUAUUUGGUUCACUGGAUAUUUUAGUUUGUAUUGGGUUCAUAUCGAGCGUAAUAAAAACAGGCCAAAAAAGGCGGACGGAAAACAGAGUGGUAAAACUGUUAAUCGUUGGUCAAAAACAAAGCGACAGGAAAAGGGAGACCGACUUUUGGAGUUGCUGUGGACUGCGGAUCUUGAAUUAGGACUGACAUUAAUUAGUGAUGAGAUGUUAACAAGCCGAUCUCCCAGCAGCGAACCAUGUCAGCUCUCUCUCUCCCACACACACACAGGUUUCAGAAGCACACCCCGUAUGAAACAGCACACACACACACACACACACACACACACACACACACACACACACACACACACACACACUUCCCUUUUUAUUUUAAGUAGAACAUUUCAAUAGAUCAUGCAUAAUGCUGUAUCAUAUCUCAGGAGACAGGUUUCUCAUACUCCAGUCCAGUUUGGUGAUGGUGAUUACUUCACUAAUACACCUAAUGAACCUGGCGAUGAUUUAUUUAUUUAUUAAGACCGCUGUCCCGGAGCUUGAGAAGCGAGAACGUGUGGCGGGUAUCGAUAGUGAUAAAGGGCAUGUGACCUGCAACACGUACAGCAUCGGCCACGCCGUGUUAUUGUAAAUGGUACUGUGUGUGCUGCUGGAGGACGUGGAGCAGGAUUGGCGGCUCGGUUCAGAAAAGCCGCUCAUGCCGGUUCUGCACGACGGCACUCGUGCGCUAGCUGAAAUAUUAAACAGCAGAGCAGUCAAUAGUACAGCAACCUUGAAGUCAAUUGCAUUCAGACAUCGUGAGAGAGAGAGAGAGAGAGAGAGAGAGAGAGAGAGAGAGAGAGAGAGAGAGAGAGAGAGAGAGAGGGAGGAUGGAUACAGAAAUGUGAGAGAGCGACAGAGAGGAUGGUGUGUGUGUGUGUGUGUGUGUGUGUGUGUACUCUGCAGCACAGCGGCAGGAGGGAGAGUGACUGCAGGAAGUGCUGAGCACUGCAGCAGUGGAAUCCCUUGCCUAGAGAGGAGGGUUACCCCUCAGUUCUCUUCAUGCCGGCAUCCCCUCCUCCCUCUCUCUCUCUCCCCCUCUCCCUCUCUCCCUCUCUCCAUCCUGCUGCCGUCUGAAUCACGGUAUUCCCCUGUUUGCUACGCGAUAAGUCCCUUCAUGCCAUUGUACUGCACUUACAAGACUCCGCAUAACAUCUGCGCACACGUGUACGUACAAGGUUUCGUAGACUUUUUUUUUUUUUUAACCUGUAAACAUAUAUAUGGUUAUCAUUUAACUUAUAACUUAGAUCAUUGACAGAUCCAUCAUGGUCUCACAAACCCCCUGGAAUGCCAACACAAACCUCUAGGGGUUCCCAAACCCCUGGUUGGGAAACCCCUGGUCUAGACACUAUCAAAGCCCUGUUUUUGAUGCUUCUAUUCAAGAAAAAUGCGGAGAAAAUAAUCUUAGCGGCCUGGAACUACCCGCGUACAAUUUGCAUAAUCUUUAUUAAAAUGCAGCAAACUUGUCACUUGCGGUGGAAGAAAAAUGUCUGAGUAUUACCAAUUAAUAGGGUCAUAUUAAUAUGGCAAUAUUAACUCUGGUUGGAGCGCUUGCAUCAUCUCCUGUUAUUUUAGUUGAAGAAGAGUUCUACAUGGUCCCGGUUUUCACAGACAAGAAAGAGAAAGAGAGAGAGAGAGAGAGAGAGAGAGAGAGAGAGAGAGAAAAUUAGAAGAAGAAGCUUUUAUGUCAUUCUAACAGCCUCGUUCAUUUUUCUGACUAAUAUCGCCGCAUAUACACGUUCGUACACACGCAUACACAUCCGCGCGCUUCACAAACGAUCCUGCCCCAAGCCUGAUGGCCGUCAUCAUCCUAAUCGCCCUAAAUCACAGGAGUCUGCUGCCUGCUCAGAAAUAACUCCUCCAUUUCACUCGGAAAGUCAUUUACGACCAGAGAUGGAUUUCCCCUUUAUGUGUAGGUGCACUAAAGAGUCAAGAGUGGGUGAG